AUUGAACGCUGGCGGCAUGCUUUACACAUGCAAGUCGAACGGUAACAGGGAGCUUGCUCCGCUGACGAGUGGCGAACGGGUGAGUAAUGCGUCGGAACGUGCCGAGUAGUGGGGGAUAACGCAGCGAAAGUUGUGCUAAUACCGCAUACGUACUGAGGUAGAAAGUGGGGGACCUUCGGGCCUCACGCUAUUCGAGCGGCCGACGUCUGAUUAGCUAGUAGGUGAGGUAAAGGCUCACCUAGGCGACGAUCAGUAGCGGGUCUGAGAGGAUGAUCCGCCACACUGGGACUGAGGCACGGCCCAGACUCCGACGGGAGGCAGCAGUGGGGAAUUUUGGACAAUGGGCGAAAGCCUGAUCCAGCCAUGCCGCGUGUCUGAAGAAGGCCUUCGGGUUGUAAAGGACUUUUGUCGGGGAGGAAAUCCCCAGCGCUAAUACCGCUGGGGGAUGACAGUACCUGAAGAAUAAGCACCGGCUAACUACGUGCCAGCCGCCGCAGUAAGAC
rnacentral:rRNA from 1 species